GACGAACGCUGGCGGCGUGCCUAAUACAUGCAAGUCGAACGCUUCUUUCCUCCCGAGUGCUUGCACUCAAUUGGAAAGAGGAGUGGCGGACGGGUGAGUAACACGUGGGUAACCUACCCAUCAGAGGGGGAUAACACUUGGAAACAGGUGCUAAUACCGCAUAACAGUUUAUGCCGCAUGGCAUAAGAGUGAAAGGCGCUUUCGGGUGUCGCUGAUGGAUGGACCCGCGGUGCAUUAGCUAGUUGGUGAGGUAACGGCUCACCAAGGCCACGAUGCAUAGCCGACCUGAGAGGGUGAUCGGCCACACUGGGACUGAGACACGGCCCAGACUCCUACGGGAGGCAGCAGUAGGGAAUCUUCGGCAAUGGAUGAAAGUCUGACCGAGCAACGCCGCGUGAGUGAAGAAGGUUUUCGGAUCGUAAAACUCUGUUGUUAGAGAAGAACAAGGACGUUAGUAACUGAACGUCCCCUGACGGUAUCUAACCAGAAAGCCACGGCUAACUACGUG
rnacentral:rRNA from 1 species